CUUAUUUUUCAGAAAUCCAUGCUGACUAUUGGUGAUCACAGCAUUCCUUUCUAGGUGCUCACAGACUGUUUGCUUAAUCAUCUGCUCCAGAAUCUUCCCUGGUAUUGAUGUCAGACUGACUGGGCGGUAAUUAUUUGGGUCCUCUCUUUUCCCCUUUUUGAAAAUAGGGACAACAUUUGCCCUCCUCCAGUCUGCCGGGACUUCGCCCGUUCUCCAGGAAUUCUCAAAGAUGACUGCCAGUGGUUCUGAGAUCACAUCUGCCAGUUCUUUUAAUACUCUUGGAUGCAGUUCAUCUGGCCCUGGAGACGAAAGCCUAUAAGGUGCCCGGAGAGCCUGGUGAGGAAAAGGCCCCCCAGGGAGAUGUCCUUGCAGAGCCUCUCCCCCUCUGGGCCUUUCCUGCUCCUUCUGGGGUGUUUGGUUUUUAGCCAAGAGAAAGCUUGCUCUUCUUGUCUCCUCUUCCCCCCUCAGUGACUUCACAGCUCUGCUGCAGUCCCUUCCCAGAUACAGAUCCAGUCGGGAUUCAGGCCUCAUCAUGGGACUGAAACUGCCUUGGUCGCGCUGGUCGAUGAUCUCCGGCGGGCUAGGGACAAAGGUGAGAGCUGUGUCCUAGUUCUGCUGGAUCUCUCAGCGGCUUUUGACACCAUCGACCAUAACAUCCUUCUGGACCGUCUUGAGGGGCUGGGAGCUGGGGGCACUGUCAUACAGUGGUUCCGCUCCUUCCUCCUGGGCCGUGUUCAGAAAGUGGUGGUGGGGGGUGAGUGUUCAGACCCCUGGGCUCUCACUUGUGGGGUGCCUCAGGGUUCUGUCCCAUCUGGUACGCAGGAUGAGACCCUAUCGGCCUACAGAAUGCCUUGCCAGAGUGGUGCAUGCUCUGGUUAUCUCCUGCUUGGACUACUGCAAUGUGCUCUAUGUGGGACUACCUUUGAAGGUGACUCGGAAACUACAACUAAUCCAGAACGUGGCAGCCAGACUGGUGACUGGGAGCGGCCGCAGAGACCAUAUAACACCAGUCUUGAAAGACCUACAUUGGCUCCCAGUACGUUUCCGAGCACAAUUCAGAGUAUUGGUGCUGACCUUGAAAGCCCUAAAUGGCCUCAGCCCAGUGUUCCUGAAGGAGCGUCUCCGCCCCCAUCAUUCUACCCGUACACUGAGGUCCAGCGCCGAGGGCCUUCUGGCUGAGGGCCUUCUCAGUGGUAGAACACCCUCCCAGCAGAUGUCAAAGAGAACAACAACUACCAGACUUUUAGAAGACAUCUGAAGGCAGCCCUGUUUAGGGAAGCUUUAAAUAUUUGAUGUAUUACAGUAUUUUAAUAUUUUUUUGGAAGCCGCCCAGAGUGGCUGGGGAGGCCCAGCCAGAUGGGCGGGGGUAUAAAUAAUAAAUUAUUAUUAUUAUUACACCCAAAGACACCCCAUGUGGUUUAGCAGACAGACUAAGAGCUCUGGAGCUGGAGGAGGGAGACCUGGGCCCAGUUCCCCCCAUGGCUAGGAGCUUUGGAGGGAGGUGGGGAAGAUGGGGAGUGAGAGGAGCUGGUUCUGGGUGGAAACAUCCACUCUGAGGAAAAGAUCACCAGCUAGAGAAAGGAGUCUCUGAGCUUAGUGGGAAGGACAGUGUGUGGUGUCCUGGGAGAGUAAAUCAGGCCAGGAAUGAACUGGGAGGCUGAGCCAGGAGAAGGAGGAGCUGGAAAGAGACCGGCUGCUGAGCUCUCAUCCCAGUCAGGAGGGGAGAGAUCCUUCUAGAAAGAGAAGACUCCCAAACCAGAGAUCCCUUGGGUCUUUGGCUUGGAGUACCUUGGGAGUAGGGUUGUCCAAGGGGUGUGUAACUGGCAGAAAGUGCCACCUUGUUAAGAACCAAAGUAUUACGUGAGAAACAACUGAGAAAACCUUGAAGGGAAUAACAUUGUAAACUGAAAUAUCCUACGUUUUAUCCACUCGUGUCAUAAACUUCCUUGUUAAAUAAAAUCGUUAAUGUUUAUUUGAAGAAAUCCUGCCUGAGACUCCCAAUUAGUAAGUUUUACCUCACGCAAGUCCCCCACAAGAUAAUCCGACGUAGUUGGAGGGCAUUUGUGGAAAUUGUGUUCUGUGAGGUGGGUGCACUAUAUUUAAGAGAGAGAACGGGCCCAAGGCUGCCGGGGGGAAAAGAGCCCUUGCGUCUUCGCAUAUUAAUUGAGGGCAGAGGUGGGAUAUGAAGUUAAAACCCACACAGAUCCUAUUUAGUUUUGAGCGGACUGGCAGACUUAAACAUUCAUGAGGAAAACUGGAUGCUGCACUUACGCCCACAGAUAUGUGGAAUUUUGAGUGAAAUAUACUCAGAUCUCAGAGAGGAUGAAACCUCUGAUUCCCUCACAUUUAAAGAGAGAGUGAAAGUGAGCUUUGG